AGUGAACGCUGGCGGUAGGCCUAACACAUGCAAGUCGAACGGCAGCACAGUAAGAGCUUGCUCUUACGGGUGGCGAGUGGCGGACGGGUGAGGAAUACAUCGGAAUCUACUUUUUCGUGGGGGAUAACGUAGGGAAACUUACGCUAAUACCGCAUACGACCUACGGGUGAAAGCAGGGGAUCUUCGGACCUUGCGCGAUUGAAUGAGCCGAUGUCGGAUUAGCUAGUUGGCGGGGUAAAGGCCCACCAAGGCGACGAUCCGUAGCUGGUCUGAGAGGAUGAUCAGCCACACUGGAACUGAGACACGGUCCAGCCUCCUACGGGAGGCACCAGUGGGAAUUAUUGGACAAUGGGCGCAAGCCUGAUCCAGCCAUACCGCGUGGGUGAAGAAGGCCUUCGGGUUGUAAAGCCCUUUUGUUGGGAAAGAAAAGCAGCAGGUUAAUACCCCGCUGUUCUGACGGUACCCAAAGAAUAGCACCGGCUAACUUCGUG
rnacentral:rRNA from 1 species